AUUGAACGCUGGCGGCAGGCCUAACACAUGCAAGUCGAACGAGUGGCGGACGGGUGAGUAAUGUCUGGGAAACUGCCCGAUGGAGGGGGAUAACUACUGGAAACGGUAGCUAAUACCGCAUACCAUCGGAUGUGCCCAGAUGGGAUUAGCUGGUAGGUGGGGUAACGCCUCACCUAGGCGACGAUCCCUAGCUGGUCUGAGAGGAUGACCAGCCACAAUAGAACUGAGACACGGUCCAGACUCCGACGGGAGGCAACGGUGGGGAAUAUUGCACAAUGGGCGCAAGCCUGAUGCGACCAUGCCGCGUGUAUGAAGAAGGCCUUCGGGUUGUAAAGUACUUUAAGCGAGGAGGCGUUACUCGCAGAAGAAGCACCGGCUAACUCCGUGCCAGCAGCCGCGGUAAUUC
rnacentral:rRNA from 1 species